GAUCCAUCCUAGUCACCUCACGUGAGCCGACAUUCCUGAUUUGAAGCUUCACUGAUACGCCAACAUGUCUAACAUGGACUCUGUCAGAGUGCGGGUCUUCUCUCUGAACUGCUGGGGGAUCCGAUAUCUAAGCAAAUACUGUCCACAGCGCUAUGCCAUGAUUGGUGAAAUGUUGUAUAAGGAACAGCAUGAUAUUGUGUUACUGCAAGAGGUAGGUGGAAGCCAGCUUACAAAACGGUUGAUUGCAGACUCACUGUUCUGAUAAAAACAGAGACUCUGCAGGUCAUACAUGUGUUGGGAAACUACAUGUUUUUUUUAAAUUUCUCAUCUGUACACCGCCACAGUGGAUUUUAAAUAAAAUAUUCAAUAUGUGAUUGAUGUACAGGAAUUACACCUAUUUUUAUACAUAGUCUCCCAUUUUCAGAGGCACCGCCUCGGACUGACUGGGCUGUU